ensembl:lncRNA
ACACGUGUACCCGUGCACAUCCCUAGUCCCUACCUCCGCAGGGAGUCCUCGUCGGGGGGCUCCACCGGCAUCUCCUGGGCCAUGGGGUCGGGCUGCUCGGGUUGGCGCCGCGCCCCCGCCUGCCGGUACACGCGCUCCCAGCCCAGGCUCUCCUGGUUGUACACCAGGUUGACCUCCGGGCUACUGGGGGCGGGACUGCCGGGGUAAGCCACGCCCACACCUCCCCCGGCUCCUCCGGAGGGCAGGGGCUCGUUACCCAGGGCGGGGCCCCUCCUGUCGUGGGUCGGCUCCUCCGGCCCCCUCUGGCCCUCCUCGUGGGACCAAAGGGGGGCGGUGGCGGUUGGGGGGUUCCCGGCGGCGGUGGAGGAGGUCUGGGCGGUGCGCUCCCAGCGCUGGGAGUCCUGGUUGAAGGUCAGCAGGUUGUGGCACGCCCGGCAGCGGUUCAGGUGGGCGCGGGACCCCGAGGGCCGGCCCCCCGAGGGCCCGGGGGGGUGGAGGUGUGUGCGUGCGGAGGGCCGGCUGCCUGAGGCGCGGGGGAGGAGGCAGCCCUCGGGG